rnacentral:rRNA from 1 species
UACGAAGGGGGCUAGCGUUGCUCGGAAUUACUGGGCGUAAAGGGCGCGUAGGUGGCGGGACAAGCGUGCGGUGAAAGCUCGGGGCUCAACCCCGAGUCGGCCGUGCGAACUGUUUUGCUUGAGCACUGCAGAGGCAGGCGGAAUUCCGGGUGUAGCGGUGGAAUGCGUAGAGAUGUGGAGGAACACCGAUGGCGAAGGCAGCCUCCUGGGCCAGCACUGACGCUCAUGCACGAAAGCGUGGGGAGCAAACAGG